CACCGAUAUAAUUCCGGAACGACUGUAUUUUCUCUGGCGGCGUGACGUCUAACUUAUCGGGGCUCGACGAACGGAUUUUCGCGUUCGCCAUUGACCGCUGCGUGUUUUUUUUCUCGAUAUAAUUCUCCUUCGGGAAAUACCGAGGCUAUUUCCGUCGUAUUGUUUGGCGAUGGGUGCGAUAUUUUAAAACUGAGUGAAUCUAGACGCGAUUUCAGUAAUACAGUAAUUCCAACGAAUAAUUAAUGCCGAAAAUACAUGUUUUAGAUUUAUGUCAAAACGCAAAUUUCAAAAUACUCAUUCCAAUCA